UUCAUGCGCCGGUUCUGGAACCAGACUUUGACCUGCCUUUCGGUGAGAUCCAGCAAGGCUGCGAUCUCGACGCGGCGUGGCCGGCACAGAAAAGAUGAGUGAGGAUCCCUGCGUUGGAGGAAGAGGGAGUGGAAAGAGGCUUCCACUCUUUGAAAAAGGCAUCCAUGCUUCUCUGUGACACCUCCCUCCCCCCGAAAACAAGCAGAGUCUAAGAUGUGCAUGUACCCACUCAAGCCUCAAGCUCAUAUCUGUAUCCAUAUCCAGGGACAUGAACAAGAACUCAGCCCAGCCAGGAGAAGGCUGGUUAGCAGAGAAAUGGCAACUGAGCCCGGAGCUGGAACUAGAAACUUUCUGUCAAUGUAACAUCUGCGUGGGUGGUGACCCAAUGGUGGUUGGGCUUCGGGUCACGUGACAUCUUCUUUGUAGCUCCGGAAGAGGAUUGCGAAGAAGUUUAGGUUUCGUGGAAGAAACCGAUAACUGAAAAAAAUCAAGAUUUGGGGGGAAUUACCUACAAAGAUGUAAGGUAAGUCCGUUGGUUGGUGAUGGCCUAGCCAUCGCGUCC